GUACACGCUGUGACUAGCAUAUCAAUAAGCGGAGGAAAAGAAACUAACAAGGAUUCCCCUAGUAACGGCGAGUGAAGCGGGAAGAGCUCAAAUUUGAAAUCUUAAAGGGUUUCCCUUUACGAAUUGUAGUUUAAAGAAGUGUUUUCUGUUGAGGUUUUGGUAAAAGUUCUUUGGAAUAGGACAUCAUAGAGGGUGGAGAAUCCCGUAUUUGACCUUUACUUUCAACUUUGUGAUACACUUUCAAAGAGUCGGAUUGUUUGGGAAUAGCAGUCCAAAAUGGGUGGUAAAUUUCAUCUAAAGCUAAAGUAUUGGCGAGAGACCGAUAGCGAACAAGUACCGUGAGGGAAAGAUGAAAAGAACUUUGAAAAGAGAGUUAAACAGUACGUGAAAUUGUCAAAAGGGAAGCGUUUGACUACCAGUGUUGUUUUUCUGAAAAUCAAUUAAAGAACUGUUUAUGCUAAGUUGUUUAGACUUUAUCAGCUAACUGUUUAGUUUUGAGCUUUUCUUUAGUGCACUUUUCAGUUAACAAGUCAACAUCAAUUUCUUUUGCUGUAAAAAAGCUUGAGGAAGGUGGCUUGAGAUUCGUCUUAAGUGUUUAUAGCCUCUUGCCUAUGCAGUCGGAGAGAUUGAGGUCUGCAGCGUAGAUCCUUCGGGGCUAAAUGCAUUUGUGCUAAGUUAUAGCAUUUUAUAGACAACUUGUUGACUAUGAUUUGUCUUGUAGCUUACUCGCUUAUGUUAUUUUACCUACGCUUAGGAUGUUGACAGCAGUAUAGACUGU
rnacentral:rRNA from 1 species